UUAAGUUAAUAAGGGCGCACGGUGGAUGCCUUGGCACUAGAAGGCGAUGAAGGACGUGACUAACUACGAAAUUCUGCGGGGAGCUGUAAGUAAGCUUUGAUCCGCAGGUGUCCGAAUGGGGGAACCCAGUAGCUAAUGGCUACUACUGUUUGUGUGAAUACAUAGCACUUACAGGGCAAGACGUUGUGAACUGAAACAUCUAAGUAGCAACAGGAAGAGAAAGCAAACGCGAUUUCCUUAGUAGCGGCGAGCGAAACGGAAGAAGGGCAAACCAAGAGACUUGUCUCUUGGGGUUGUAGGACUGCGCAGUGGACUUAUAUUUUAUAGACGAAUUACCUGGGAAGGUAAGCUAAAGAGAGUAAUAGCCUCGUAGUUGAAAUAGAAUAUAUACCUAGCAGUAUCCUGAGUACGGCGAGACACGAGAAAUCUCGUCGGAAUCUGGGAGGACCAUCUCCCAACCCUAAAUACUCUCUAGUGACCGAUAGUGAACAAGUACCGUGAGGGAAAGGUGAAAAGAACCCCGGGAGGGGAGUGAAAUAGCACCUGAAACCGUGUGCCUACAACAAGUUCGAGCCCGUUAAUGGGUGAGAGCGUGCCUUUUGUAGAAUGAACCGGCGAGUUAAGUUAUGAUGCGAGGUUAAGAUGAAGAGUCGGAGCCGUAGCGAAAGCGAGUCUUAAUAGGGCGCCAUAGUAUCAUGAUUUAGACCCGAAACCAUGUGACCUAUCCAUGAGCAGGGUGAAGGUGCGGUAAGACGCACUGGAGGCCCGAACCAGGACACGUUGAAAAGUGUUUGGAUGACUUGUGGAUAGCGGAGAAAUUCCAAACGAACUUGGAGAUAGCUGGUUCUCUCCGAAAUAGCUUUAGGGCUAGCGUCCAACUUGAAUGUAAUGGAGGUAGAGCACUGUUUGGGUGAGGGGUCCAUCCCGGAUUACCAAUCUCAGAUAAACUCCGAAUGCCAUUUACAUGCGUUGGGCAGUCAGACUGUGAGUGCUAAGAUCCAUAGUCGAAAGGGAAACAGCCCAGACCAUCAGCUAAGGUCCCAAAAUAUAUGUUAAGUGGAAAAGGAUGUGGGAUUGCACAGACAACUAGGAUGUUAGCUCAGAAGCAGCUAUCAUUUAAAGAGUGCGUAAUAGCUCACUAGUCGAGUGAUCCUGCGCCGAAAAUGUACCGGGGCUAAAACAUAUUACCGAAGCUAUGGAAUUAAAUUUAUUUAAUUGGUAGGAGAGCGUUCUUAUCAGCGAUGAAGGUAUACCGUGAGGAGUGCUGGAGCGAUAAGAAGUGAGAAUGCCGGUAUGAGUAGCGCAAGACAGGUGAGAAUCCUGUCCACCGUAAGACUAAGGUUUCCAGGGGAAGGCUCGUCCGCCCUGGGUUAGUCGGGACCUAAGGAGAGGCCGAAUGGCGUAUCCGAUGGACAACAGGUUGAUAUUCCUGUACUAGGUUAUAUAGUGAUUGGAGGGACGCAGUAGGCUAAGGUAAGCCAGUUAAUGGAUUCUGGUCUAAGCAGUGAGGUUUGGUAUGAGUCAAAUGCUUGUACCUAUAAGAUUGAGCUGUGAUGGGGAAGCACUUUCGAGUGCGAAGUACCUGAUGUCACACUGCCAAGAAAAUCUUCUAGCGUUUAAUUAUAACCUACCCGUACCGCAAACCGACACAGGUAGUCGAGGCGAGUAGCCUCAGGUGAGCGAGAGAACUCUCGUUAAGGAACUCGGCAAAAUGACCCCGUAACUUCGGGAGAAGGGGUGCUGACUUUUAGUCAGCCGCAGUGAAUAGGCCCAAGCAACUGUUUAUCAAAAACACAGCUCUCUGCUAAAUCGUAAGAUGAUGUAUAGGGGGUGACGCCUGCCCGGUGCUGGAAGGUUAAGAGGAGUGCUUAGCGUAAGCGAAGGUAUGAAUUGAAGCCCCAGUAAACGGCGGCCGUAACUAUAACGGUCCUAAGGUAGCGAAAUUCCUUGUCGGGUAAGUUCCGACCC
rnacentral:rRNA from 1 species